UCUGGUAUAAUGUAAUGGCCAACAUACCUCCCUCUCGAGGAGGAGCUCGGGGUUCGAUUCCUCGUGCCGGAA
rnacentral:tRNA from 1 species